GUGAGGGGGGGGGGGGGGUUGGGGGUCUUGGGGGGCCCCAUUUGGGGUCACAGGAUGGGUUGGGGGGCUCCAUUUGGGGUCUUGGAGUGGGGUGGGGUCUCCAUUUGGGGUCUUGGGAUGGGUUGGGGGGCUCCAUUGGGAUCUUGGAGUGGGGUGGGGGGCUCCAGUGGGGUCUCCAUUUGGGGUCUUGGGAUGGGUUGAGGGCUCCAAUGGGGUCUCCAUUUGGGGUAGGAUCUGCAUUUGGGGUCAUGGGAUGGGUUGGGGGUCUCCCUUUGGGGUCACGGGAUGGGUUGGGGGUCUCCAUUUGGGGUCUUGGAGUGGGUUGGGGGGCUCCAAUGGGGUCUUGGAGUGGGGUGGGGUCUCCAUUUGGGGUCAUGGGAUGGGUUGGGGGGCUCCAAUGGGGUCUCCAUUUGGGGUGGGUUCUCCAUUUGGGGUCAUGGGAUGGGUUGGGGGUCUCCAUUUGGGGUCACGGGAUGGGUUGCGGGCUCCAAUGGAGUCCUGGGAUGGGUUGGGGGGCUCCAAUGGGGUCUUGGAGUGGGGUGGGGUCUCCAUUUGGGGUCUUGGAGUGGGGUGGGUCUCCAUUUGGGGUCGUGGGAUGGGCUGGGGGCUCCAAUGGGGUCUUCAUUUGGGGUGGGGUCUCCAUUUGGGGUCACGGGAUGGGUUGGGGGGCGCCGGUUCUGAACUUUGGGGUCUUGGGAUGGGUUGGGGGCUCCAUUUGGGGUCUCGGAGUGGGGUGGGGUCUCUAUUUGGGGUCGUGGGAUGGGCUGGGGGCUCCAAUGGGGUUAUGGGAUGGGUUGGGGGUCUCCAUUUGGGGUCAUGGAUUUGGGGUCUCCAUUUGGGAUCAUAGAAUUGGGGUCUCCAUUUGGG
ensembl:lncRNA